UAGAUCGAUGAUGACCACUGGUGGCGUAUGAGUCAUAUACGAUGAAUACAUGUCUGGAACUCUGAGGUCCAA
ensembl:snoRNA